CAGGAGGUGAAAAGCCAAGCCCUUGAAUCCCCGGAGCACAGAGACGUCCGCUUGGCCAAAGGAGAGCCCAUGGUCCCUUCCAUCUGACAGCUGUUGAGAGAUUUGUGGGAUGAGGGAGCCCCCCAGAGGCCUCGUUCUAGAACUGCAGCAAAUCCCAAAUUUCAGAGAAAGCCUUUAGAACUGCAGCAAAGGGAUCAUUUGAGACAAGCCCUCCUGGCCUAUGGAUGAGGAAACUGAGGCACAAAGAGGGGCAGUCCAUGGCCAGGACACACAGCAAGCUAGGAACUGCACAUUCACAGAUGUCCCUUUAUUCUCCUGUGGUUGGAUUGAGCCAUCUAGAGAAUUUGCUAAGCCCCAACCUCUCUGCUGACCUCCAGCCUCCCAUCUCCAACUGCCUUCCAGACAUCUCAGACUGGGUGUCCAGUAGACUGAUGGAUGGAUAGUAGGUGAGGAGGCACUGGACCCCCUGAACAGCCACUUCAUGAUGGACAGAGAGAUCUGGACCUGGCCUCCCCCCAGCUCUUACAGUGUGUAAUUUGGGCAGCUCAGGCCCAAUGGGAAAGGGUAUGACAUUCAGUUGCUACCAAAAAAAGUGUGUUUUCCUUCCAGGGGCAUCCAAGCCCUCAGAGGGUCUCAGAGGUGCUCACUGGACUUGCUGACUGUGAGUGCCUUGUGUUGUCUGCAUCUGCUCCAGGCCCUGAGAAUCCUUUACGUCUUCUGGGUUUGUUUUUUUUUUUUUUUUGGGGGGGGGACAGGAGGAACAAAGCCUGUCCUGUAUUUGUUAUGAAUCAUUACUUUGAAGGUUUGUGUGGGUCCCAUCUGUGGACAAGGAGCUGCCUGGGAGCUAUGUUCCAGGUUGCCCCUGAGCCACUCUGGCUGGGGGCAGAACUCCCAAAGACACUCCCUGUCUUCACUCACCUUGUCUGGGGGCUGACACCUUUUAUGGGGCUCUUCUCUGUACAUUGGCCAGGGUCAGCCUGUCUCUAACCCCCAGGAUUUGUGACCCUUUUCAUUCCCAGGGAAGACAUCCCAGCACCCUUCCCCCAAGAUUCAUCUUGGCCUGGGGCCAUCUUUGUUCUGCCUCUCCUCCCCACCUAAGUCUGCUGUAUCCUAGAUCUUAGCCAGGAAAGUAGCAGAAUCAUCCAGGGCUUAAGGUCUUGGUCCCAGGAGUGUGGCCUCUGCUACUGGUCUCUAAGCCACACCAAGUAUCAAAGGAACAGUGGAACCAUCUCUGGAUGGGAAGGGCCCUCAGAGACUGGCUUGUCCAACCCUCUCAUUUUACAGAGGGGGAAACUGAGGCCUGGGCAGAGGAAGUGUCACAGCACUGGGAAAGACUCCAAAGGUGAGGAGAUGGUGACAACUGGUCAAGAGAAGGAAGAAUAGAAACACACAGAAACACAUUUCACUCAACAGGGAAAUAGGAGGGAAUGGAGUGAAGGGUGA
rnacentral:lncRNA from 1 species